rnacentral:rRNA from 1 species
CCUACGGGUGGCUGCAGUGAGGAAUAUUGGUCAAUGGGCGCGCGCCUGAACCAGCCAAGUAGCGUGAAGGCUGACUGCCCUGCGGGUUGUCAACUUCUUUUAUAAAGGAAUACAGUGAGGCACGUGUGCCUUUUUGUAUGUACUUUAUGAAUAAGGAUCGGCUAACUCCGUGCCAACAGCCGCGGUAUUACGGAGGAUCCGAGCGUUAUCCGGAUUUAUUGGGUUUAAAGGGAGCGUAGAUGGGUUGUUUAGACAGUUGUGAAAGUUUGCGGUUCAACCGUAACAUUGCUAUUGAUACUGGCAGCCUUGAGUACAGUUGAGGUAGGCGGAAUUCGUGGUGUAGCGGUGAAAUGCUUAGAUAUCACGAAGAACUCCGAUUGCGAAGGCAGCUUACUAAACUGCCACUGACAUUGAUGCUCGAAAGUGUGGGUAUCAAACAGGAUGAGAUACCCCAGUAGUC